AGACAGAGUCUCGCUCUGUCGCCGAGGCUGGAGUGCAGUGGCGCGAUCUCAGCUCACUGCAAGCUCCGCCUCCCGAGUUCACGCCAUCCUCCUGCCUCAGCCUCCCGAGUAGCUGGGACUACAGGUGCACGCCGCUAUGCCCGGCUAAUUUUUUGUAUUUUUAGUAGAGACGGGGUUUCUCCGUGUUAGCCAGGAUGGUCUCGAUCUCCUGACCUUGUGAUCCACCCGCCUCGGCCUCCCAAAGUGCUGGGAUUACACGCGUGAGCCACUGCGCCCG
rnacentral:lncRNA from 1 species